rnacentral:lncRNA from 1 species
CGCGCACGGACACGUACCUCGUCCCUCGCAGCACGCACGCGGCUAGCGACAGGUGCGCGCGCACCUGCAAGGAAGCGGCAUGCUUGGCGUCCCUUGAGCACGCACUGGGUGAUCGCCGACUUACCUUGCGGCCAAAGGCUUUCUGCUCCUUCCUUUGGAAGAAGAGGAGGUGAUGACUUUUCCCAUCCUGGCCCCUUCUCCCUGCCAGCCCCAAAGAGAAGACUGGCCUACGUCUUCAAAGCUUUCACUUGCACCUGCACUAGCUUGUUCCAGCAGAACCUCUUCUCCCCCAGGAUGUCUGACCAAUAGACUGUGGCAGAAGUGGUGCUGUGCUGUGCAGGUGAUGAAGUUCAGACCUCAAGAGGCCUUGAAAUUUCCAUCUUCACCACAUGAGAAGACUAC